GAUGAAGAACGUAGCGAAAUGCGAUACGUAAUGUGAAUUGCAAAUUCAGUGAAUCAUCGAGUCUUUGAACGCACAUUGCGCCCCCUGGUAUUCCGGGGGGCAUGCCUGUCCGAGCGUCAUUGCUGCCCUCAAGCACGGCUUGUGUGUUGGGCCCCGUCCUCCGAUCCCGGGGGACGGGCCCGAAAGGCAGCGGCGGCACCGCGUCCGGUCCUCGAGCGUAUGGGGCUUUGUCACCCGCUCUGAAGGCCCGGCCGGCGCUUGCCGAUCAACCCAAAUUUUUAUCCAGGUUGACCUCGGAUCAGGUAGGGAUACCCGCUGAACUUAAGCAUAUCAAUAAGCGGAGGA
rnacentral:misc_RNA from 1 species